UUUAACGGCCGCGGUAUUCUAACCGUGCAAAGGUAGCGUAAUCACUUGUCUCCUAAAUAGAGACUAGUAUGAACGGCUAAAUGAGAAUAAACCUGUCUCCUACAACCCAUCAGUGAAACUGAUCUUUCAGUCCAAAAGCUGAAAUAUAAACAUAAGACGAGAAGACCCUGUGGAGCUUGAGGUACUAUUCCAAUAAUAGUGCAACUAACCUGGCACACUACCUUGAGUUGGGGCGACUUCGGAAAAAAACAAAACUUCCGAGCACAGAACUACCACUUCUUUCUAAGACCUACAGGUCAAAGAACAUAAUUGACCCAGUCACACUGAUCAACGAACCAAGUUACCCCAGGGAUAACAGCGCUAUCUUCUUCAAGAGUCCCUAUCGACAAGAAGGUUUACGACCUCGAUGUUGGAUCAGGACACCCUAAUGGUGCAGCCGCUAUUAAAGGUUCGUUUGUUCAACGAUUAACAGUC
rnacentral:rRNA from 1 species